UACGUAGGGUGCAGGCGUUAAUCGGAAUUACUGGGCGUAAAGCGUGCGCAGGCGGUUUGCUAAGACAGAUGUGAAAUCCCCGGGCUUAGCUUGGGAACUGCGUUUGUAACUGGCAAGCUAGAGUGUGGCAGAGGGGGGUGGAAUUCCAAGUGUAGCGGUGGAAUGCGUAGGUAUUUGGAGGAACACCAGUGGCGAAGGCAGCCCCCUGGGUUAACACUGACGCUCAUGCGCGAAAGCGUGGGGAGCAAACAGG
rnacentral:rRNA from 1 species